rnacentral:snRNA from 1 species
GUGCUCAUGUCAGCAGCGCAUAUCCUAAAACUGGAAUGAUACAGAGAAGACUAGGAUGGCCCCUGCGCAA